rnacentral:sRNA from 1 species
ACUCCACAUAGUUCUUGCCUGAGCCGUAGCUUAGAUACUUUUAGAUUACUAGCAGAAGCUCACAUUUGGUUCAUUUUUACUGUAUUAAUGUAGUUUCAAUCUCCAUGUUUAGUGCUGUUAUUAUUUUAAGAAUAGAAUAAUGAUGUGGGGCUACAAAUUGCUUUCUUUAAAAGAAGCCUUUAGAUUAGCUUUUUUUUUGCUUAUUUCCCUGAGCUUCUCAUGCUAUCCUACCCAAAAUUCUUUCUUUUGAUAAAUAGGGUGUGUAAAAGUGGACUUUCUAAUAGGAAUUUCUGAACUUUGUUUAGGACAAAUAUGGUCUUGGAACCAGGCUUCAGCGACCACGAGCUGGUGCAUCCAUCAGUACCCUUGCCGGACUUUCCCUUAAAGAAGGAGAGGACCAGAAAGAGAUAAAGAUUGAGCCAGCUCAGGCUGUGGAUGAAGUGGAACCUCUACCUGAAGACUAUUAUACAAGACCAGUAAAUUUAACAGAGGUAACCACCCUUCAGCAGCGUCUGUUACAGCCUGACUUCCAGCCAGUCUGUGCUUCACAGCUCUAUCCUCGCCACAAACAUCUUCUGAUCAAACGGUCCCUGCGCUG